AUUCCUCUCUCAAGAUCACUCUUUGUGGAGUUUAUCAUAUGCCUACAACACUGACUUAUGACCUUCGUGAGCUGGGAUUAUUCAUCAGAAAAAGUCCACUUUCCAGUAUAUAUCCAUGUGAAGAAACACACCACUCACAGGAACAAACAACCAUGGGGUUCAUUUUCAGACAAGAAGACUGCUCACUAUCUGACUUCAUUAGUGCCGAGUAUAUCUAUAGAUACACGAGCAUAAACAUUCGAACAAACUAAAUUACACCUUGAGAAGGUUAAGAUGGGAAAUUCUCCAAACUAAACUAGCAAUUUCCUGUUUCACGGCUUCUCAAGUGUAAUGCAGCUGACAGGUGGGGGAAGCAAGAGAAAAUGUAUGUUUAAAGGCAGGGUUAGCUUUGGAUUUUAGGAACACCAAGCUUACAAAAGAAACAACUUGUUUUUCUCAUGCCGCCUUAAUUCUGUCAGAGGCCUGAUCCAACUUUUGUUGGUAUGUGAAAUAAACGAGAAUGCAAAAUGACAGAGAGCUCCUGAAUGGAAUCCAUCAGCAAUUUUACAAAAAAAAUAUCCAUAUCUCAGUUUGGAAUUUUAUAACAGGAUUUGCCUCUUUAUUAUUGCAUUCAUCCCCCAAUCACAUAUUGCAAAUGCAUUUGUAUGCUUUGGUGAUAACCCUGUAUCUUAUUCAUUGGGUGCCAUGUAUCAAACUGAUUGGGCUUCACCUUGUUUUGAUGAAAUUCUGAAACACAGGGAGACAGUCUUACUAGUUUUAACUAAAGCAACAGAUGUUGCAUACUCAAUAGAAACAUUUGCCAAAUUUAAGCAUCAUUUUAUUUGAGAUACCUCUGCUUUCCUAGCUGCUCUAAGGGAAUCCUGAAACAUGUUUAGACAAGGACAGAGAGCAGUCACCACAUCCAACGGGGUUAUGAUGAAGCUCCUUGAGUCACUGUCUUAAUCCCCAGCAAGGCACGCUUAAUGUCACAGAGUGCCUCCUGCUAUUUGCACCUUUAUAAGUUUUGUUCAUGUAUGAUUACAGUUAUUAUCUACUAUUACUUGUGCAAAUCAACAGAUUUUAAAAGCAGAUGCAGUAAAAAAUGACUCAGAUUCUACAGCCAAUCGAAUAGCUUUUUAGAUUGGUUGCAGAAGAUUUUACUGUUUUAGGCACUCCUGACAAUAAUAGCAAAAAGCAGCACAAUACAAUAGUUGAAGCUUUUUAAGAAAAGUUUCUUUCAGGUACUUUUCUUGACAAGAUUUACCAAUAAAGGCUAAUCUAGUUAGAGAACUAUAUUAAAUCUCAUGAAAGAAUGUAACAUCCUCCACUUUGGAAGAAAAAUUGAAGUAUUCAGCUAAUAAUGCAUCUCAGAUAAUACUGCAGUCUGUUCCAGGAUUUACAAGAGUAAACAAA
ensembl:lncRNA